UCCCUGGUGGUCCAGUGCUUACGACGUUGCGCUCUCAAUGCAAGGGGCCUGGGUUCAACCCCCGGUCAGGGAA